CUUUUCGGCCCAGUAGCGGCGGCUCAGCUGCUGCCAUGGAGCCAGCCGGGCUAGAGCGGCUCCUACGGGAGCUGCUGCUACCGGACACCGAGCGCAUCCGUCGGGUACGGAGCAGGCGUAACCCGGCCAGGGCGAGCGGGAGGUUGCGGGAAAGGCCCGACUCUCACCCCUAGCUUCCCCCCAGGCCACGGAACAGCUCCAGAUCGUUCUUCGGGCCCCCGCCGCUUUGCCGGCUCUCUGCGACCUGCUAGCCUCGGCGGCCGACCCCCAGGUGAGACCCCUGACUCUCCCCUCCGAGCUUCCCACUGUACGCCACCGGUCAGGCCCCAAUAUUCGCCCACUGCGGUCCGCUCAGCACCUUCCUGCCCGGACCCCCACGUGCUUGCUUCCUCGUCCUAGAUCCGCCAGUUUGCGGCCGUGCUGACCCGCAGACGACUGAACACCCGCUGGCGACGGCUGGCGGCGGAGCAACGGGAGAGCCUCAAGUCCCUGAUCCUGACGGCCCUGCAGAGAGAAACAGAGCACUGUGUGAGCCUCAGCCUGGCCCAGCUCUCAGCCACCAUUUUUCGAAAGGAAGGCCUGGAGGCCUGGCCACAGCUUUUGCAGCUGCUUCAGCACAGUACCCACAGCCCCCACAGCCCAGAGAGAGAGAUGGGGCUUUUGCUGCUAAGUGUGGUGGUGACCUCCCGGCCCGAGGCCUUCCAACCCCACCACCGGGAGCUUCUUCGGCUUCUGAAUGAGACUCUUGGUGAGGUGGGCUCUCCUGGGCUGCUCUUCUACUCCCUGCGCACUCUGACCACCAUGGCUCCCUACCUCAGCACUGAAGAUGUGCCUCUCGCUCGGAUGUUGGUGCCCAAGCUGAUCAUGGCCGUGCAGACUCUGAUCCCCAUAGAUGAGGCAAAGGCCUGUGAGGCCCUUGAGGCUUUGGAUGAACUGUUGGAGUCAGAGGUGCCGGUCAUCACCCCCUACCUCUCUGAAGUCCUCACAUUCUGCCUGGAGGUGGCUAGAAAUGUGGCCCUGGGCAAUGCGGUACGCGUACGUAUUCUCUGCUGCCUCGCUUUCUUGGUCAAAGUCAAGAGCAAGGCCUUACUGAAGAAUCGUCUCCUGCCACCCUUGCUGCACACCCUUUUCCCCAUUAUGGCUGCUGAGCCCCCACCAGGCCAGUUGGAUCCCGAGGACCAGGAUUCAGAAGAGGAAGAGUUGGAGAUUGAGCUGAUGGGGGAGACUCCCAAGCAUUUCGCUGUACAAGUUGUGGACAUGCUGGCACUACACCUGCCCCCCGAGAAGCUCUGUCCCCAGCUGAUGCCCAUGUUGGAAGAGGCUUUGCGGAGCGAGAGCCCAUACCAGCGCAAAGCUGGACUCCUGGUGCUGGCCGUGCUGUCUGAUGGAGCUGGAAACCACAUCAGGCAGAGACUGCUGCCCCCACUGCUGCAGAUUGUGUGCAAGGGCCUGGAGGACCCCUCGCAAGUUGUACGCAAUGCUGCGCUGUUUGCCCUGGGCCAGUUCUCAGAAAACCUACAGCCCCAUAUCAGCAGCUAUUCAAGGGAGGUGAUGCCACUGCUCCUCGCCUACUUGAAGUCGGUGCCUCUUGGACACACACACCACCUAGCCAAGGCCUGCUAUGCCCUGGAGAAUUUUGUGGAGAACCUAGGGCCCAAAGUGCAGCCCUACCUUCCGGAGCUUAUGGAAUGCAUGCUGCAGCUUCUGAGGAACCCCAGCAGUCCCCGGGCCAAGGAGCUGGCUGUGAGCGCCCUGGGAGCCAUUGCUACGGCUGCCCAGGCCUCACUGCUGCCCUACUUCCCUGCCAUCAUGGAGCACCUGCGGGAAUUCCUGUUAACAGGCCGUGAGGACCUUCAGCCUGUGCAGAUCCAGAGCCUGGAGACACUGGGGGUGCUGGCACGAGCAGUCGGGGAGCCCAUGAGGCCGCUGGCUGAGGAAUGCUGCCAGCUGGGUCUGGGCCUCUGCGACCAGGUAGACGACCCUGACUUGCGGCGCUGCACGUACAGCCUAUUUGCAGCCUUAUCGGGUCUGAUGGGUGAGGGCCUGGCGCCCCACUUGGAACAGAUCACCACGCUCAUGCUGCUGUCACUGCGUUCCACCGAGGGCAUUGUGCCUCAGUAUGACGGGAGCAGCUCCUUCCUUCUGUUUGACGAUGAGAGUGAUGGGGAAGAAGAGGAGGAGCUCAUGGAUGAGGAUGUGGAAGAAGAGGAUGACUCAGAGAUCUCAGGGUACAGCGUGGAGAAUGCCUUCUUCGAUGAGAAGGAAGACACCUGUGCUGCCGUGGGGGAGAUCUCUGUGAACACCAGGUGAGCAUUCGCCCUUCCCUGGCACUGAAAACCCUGCCUGGGGGCCCCUUACACACGGCUGUGUCUCUCUCUGUAGUGUGGCCUUCCUUCCAUACAUGGAAAGUGUCUUUGAAGAAGUAUUUAAACUGCUGGAGUGCCCUCACCUGAAUGUGCGGAAGGCAGCCCAUGAGGCUCUGGGUCAGUUUUGCUGUGCACUGCACAAGGCCUGUCAAAGCUGCCCCUCGGAACCCAACACUGCUGGUGAGGAGAGGCUGGGCCAGGCUGGGGGUUCUUGGGGAGGGGCAGGGCCUGACUGGUGCUUCAGCCAAUAAUGUCCCCAGCUUUGCAGGCUGCCCUGGCCCGAGUGGUGCCAUCCUACAUGCAGGCAGUGAACAGGGAGCGGGAACGCCAGGUGGUGAUGGCCGUGCUGGAGGCCCUGACAGGGGUGCUCCGCAGCUGUGGGACCCUCACACUGAAGCCCCCUGGGCGCCUCGCUGAGCUCUGUGGCGUGCUCAAGGCUGUGCUGCAGAGGAAGACAGCCUGUCAGGAUACUGACGAGGAGGAGGAAGAGGAAGAUGAUGAUCAGGCUGAAUACGACACCAUGUUGCUGGAGCACGCUGGAGAGGCCAUCCCUGCCCUGGCAGCCGCGGCUGGGGGAGACUCCUUUGCCCCAUUCUUUGCUGGUUUCCUGCCAUUAUUGGUGUGCAAGACAAAACAGGGCUGCACAGUGGCAGAGAAGUCCUUUGCAGUGGGGACCUUGGCAGAGACUAUUCAGGGCCUGGGUGCUGCCUCAGCCCAGUUUGUGUCUCGGCUGCUCCCUGUGCUGUUGAGCACCGCCCGAGAGGCAGACCCCGAGGUGCGAAGCAAUGCCAUCUUUGGGAUGGGCGUGCUGGCAGAGCAUGGGGGCCACCCUGCCCAGGAACACUUCCCCAAGCUGCUGGGGCUCCUUUUUCCCCUCCUGGCGCGGGAGCGACAUGAUCGUGUCCGUGACAACAUCUGUGGGGCACUUGCCCGCCUGUUGAUGGCCAGUCCCACCAGGAAACCAGAGCCCCAGGUGCUGGCUGCCCUACUGCAUGCCCUGCCACUGAAGGAGGACUUGGAGGAGUGGGUCACCAUUGGGCGCCUCUUCAGCUUCCUGUACCAGAGCAGCCCUGACCAGGUUAUAGAUGUGGCUCCCGAGCUUCUGCGUAUCUGCAGCCUCAUUCUGGCUGACAACAAGAUCCCACCAGACACCAAGGCCGCACUGUUGCUGCUCCUGACGUUCCUGGCCAAACAGCACACCGACAGCUUUCAAGCAGCUCUGGGCUCACUGCCUGUUGACAAGGCUCAGGAGCUCCAGGCUGUACUGGGCCUCUCCUAGACUGCAGGCUGCAGCUAGUCCAGAGAGAAUAGAGCCUGCCCAGGCCUUAAGACCACCUCUCAGCCCAGUUCAGUUCUGCCUUACCAAAGAUUCUGAGACUCAUACCCAUUUGGAGCCAGCCCCACUUGCUGCCUUACAGGGCUGUCCCUGAGGCUGGAUCUGUUACAAAUGAGUCAUGACAUCAUACUGUAAUAAAAGCAGCUUGUUUUCUGCUUGAACAAUA
rnacentral:sRNA from 1 species